UCUCUCUCUCUCUCUCUCUCUCUCUCUCAUUCUCUUCCUUUCUCAGCUCUCUUUAUCAGUCGCUUCACGAAACCCACCUUAUCCUCUCAUCUGAAUCACGAAACCCCCUCAACCCCAUCUUCUAUGUCUUUCUUCAGAAUUGCCUAAGUUCGCAGCUACUUGCAACCUCGAAGCUUAACUCCAUCGCCAACCUCCAAUAGCGUUUCUUCCUCUCACUGAAGCUUAGGCUCCGCACCAACUUUGGCAGGCAGCAUUGUGCAAACUGUGUGAAAAAUAGAAGAUUCUGCUUCGGACUCAUAAUGUAAAUCUUGAUGGCCAGCCUCAUCAUUGAAGCUUUCAUGAAACAAUUCAAUCAGUUGCUUUUUCACAUCAGUUGCAGGGGAUUUUAUGGGGCUGCUUUGGUGGAUUGGAGUAUUGGUGCUGGAUGGGGUAAGAUCUGCAACAAAAUGAAAAAUCUAAAGUUCCAGCAUCAUAUUUGUUUAGGACAUUAGAAGAAAUUUGGUGUGACAAAUUUAAGUUGAUAUAUCUUACCACCAUUGACACUGAAGAAAUCUUCACAAUCAGAUUCUAACCUGGGGUCAGAAGAAAAUUGCAUAUCCUCUUUGCCAUCUACAGAGUAGCAAGCAUGCACAGAUUGCUUACAAAACGAGAAACUCAAACAAAAUCGAAAUUUUCCAGCUACCAAAGUAGUGACAUUUAACAGGACCAUGAACAAUUUAAUCAUUGAAAGGCUAUAGUUAGUUAGUACUAAUAUAUGUGUAAAUCAAUUAAUAAACCAUGAAUUUAGAAACCCAAGUGGGUAGAAUUAUACUUAUUAGUUCUCGUAAACUGCUUGCACCGGGCAUCACGGUACGAAUUGUGUUUUCUUGAAUAGGCCGUUCAGUGAGGAUGCAUCCUGUCCUAGAAAAGCUUGAGCAUUUGAGUUGUGACUUAGGGGAAGAGUCUUGGGUUUUACGAACCGAACCACAAUUUCCCAUCUCUUGAAAAAGAAAAACUCACACUUUUUCUUCACAGAAAUUCAUCUUCGGUUCGCUGCAUUGAUACGGACAAGAAGAUCCUAAGGGGUUUUAGUUGGUUGGCUUUUUGUACAUUACGGAAGUAAAGGUUUUGGCUCAACUAGAAUCUGGUGGACAAGUUGAACGGUCUUGGAAGCUAAGCAUUGGCUAUGGCAGUGGUUGGUUCCCUUCCCACUCUGUAAAAUCGUUGGGAUUUGGAGCACCGGUCGCUUUCAAUCAAAGAAAGCAUUAUUUACUUGUACGCCAUAUCAAGUUGUAUCCGAAAUCGGAAAAUAUGCUCUUUAUUUACA